AACGAACGCUGGCGGCAGGCCUAACACAUGCAAGUCGAGCGCGCCCUUCGGGGUGAGCGGCGGACGGGUGAGUAACGCGUGGGAACGUGCCCUUUUCUACGGAAUAGCCUCGGAAAACUGAGAGUAAUACCGUAUACGCCCUUUGGGGGAAAGAUUUAUCGGAAAAGGAUCGGCCCGCGUUGGAUUAGGUAGUUGGUGGGGUAAUGGCCUACCAAGCCGACGAUCCAUAGCUGGUUUGAGAGGAUGAUCAGCCACACUGGGACUGAGACACGGCCCAGACUCCUACGGGAGGCAGCAGUGGGGAAUCUUAGACAAUGGGGGCAACCCUGAUCUAGCCAUGCCGCGUGAGUGAUGAAGGCCUUAGGGUUGUAAAGCUCUUUCAGCUGGGAAGAUAAUGACGGUACCAGCAGAAGAAGCCCCGGCUAACUCCGUG
rnacentral:rRNA from 1 species